rnacentral:rRNA from 1 species
CCUACGGGAGGCUGCAGUGAGGAAUAUUGGGCAAUGGGCGCGAGCCUGAACCAGCCAAGUCGCGUGAGGGAAGACGGUCCUAUGGAUUGUAAACCUCUUUUGUCGGGGAGCAAAAGACGCCACGCGUGGCGUUCCGAGAGUACCCGAAGAAAAAGCAUCGGCUAACACCGUGCCAGCAGCCGCGGUAAUUCGGAGGAUGCGGGCGUUAUCCGGGUUUAGUGGGGGUAAGGGGUGCUCAGGCGGAAGGUCAAGUCAGCGGUAAAAUUGAGGGGCUUAACCUGUUCGAGCCGUUGAAACUGGUUUUCUUGAGUGAGCGAGAAGUAUGCGGAAUGCGUGGUGUAGCGGUGAAAUGCAUAGAUAUCACGAAGAACUCCAGUGGCGAAGGCGGCAGUCUGGCUAGAAACUGACGCUGAGGUGCGAAAGCGUGGGUAGCAAACAGGAUUAGAUACCCGUGUAGUC